rnacentral:lncRNA from 1 species
AAUCUUAGAUUGUAGAGUGCCUGAUGAUAUUUCUUGCGUUUCUCCUCUGCAGCUCCUUCGAAAAAACCCAUUCCCAAGAAAUGGAUUUUUAUCUGUUUAGUAGCCUCCUUAAUGAUUUCAUAAGGUUUAGUACUAGUAAACAGUUCUUCCCUUGCUGAGAUCUCGAUUUUAUCCCAGUAUUGUUUUGCCAUUCCUGCAAGACUUGCUUCGAAGAUUUUGGCAAACUCCUUUUUAUCGUACUCAAUUGUGGUGACUACGAUAUUCAAUGAUGAAGCCCAUUC